CCUACGGGGGGCAGCAGUGGGGAAUAUUGCACAAUGGGGGAAACCCUGAUGCAGCGACGCCGCGUGAGUGAAGAAGUAAUUCGUUAUGUAAAGCUCUAUCAGCAGGGAAGAAAAUGACGGUACCUGAGUAAGAAGCCCCGGCUAACUACGUGCCAACAGCCGCGGUAAUACGUAGGGGGCAAGCGUUAUCCGGAUUUAUUGGGUUUGAAGGGUGCGUAGGCGGGGAGGGAAGUCAGCGGUUAAAUGCCCCCGCUCAACGGGGUGAAGUGCCAUUGAUACUGCCUUGCUGGAGUGCGGAUGGCGUGGGAGGAAUGUGUGGUGUAGCGGUGAAAUGCAUAGAUAUCACACAGAACACCGAUUGCGAAGGCAUCUCACGAAUCCGCGAUUGACGCUGAUGCACGAAAGCGUGGGUAUCAAACAGGAUUAGAUACCCUUGUAGUC
rnacentral:rRNA from 1 species